AGAAUUGGGGAGAGAGCAGUUGUUGAAUAGGGGUCAUGGACAAUCACUCUGCUUUGGUACGCUUCAGUGCCCCAGGAAGCUUAUCUUGAAGCCUGAAAAGGGGAAAUAAUGCUGUACUUCUCACAUGUAUAUACACUGCUACAUUAGAGGUCACACUGCAUCUAAAUACUGCUACACUAGAGGUCACACUGCAUCUAAAUACUGCUACACUAGAGGUCACACUGCAUCUAAAUACUGCUACACUAGAGGUCACACUGCAUCUAAAUACU